ACGAUAAGAUCAAUCCUGACCCUAUUUCAAGUUCAAGCUUGAAGACAUUUGUGAGGAAUCCCCAUUUUUCAUGGCGGCGCGGCAUGAGACGAUAGAGAAUAACUAUUUGUACCUUAACAAGUAUCUCGCACUUAACCAAAACUUUUUGCAUUGAUCAGUUAAAAAUUGAAAUUUCGCAUAUCACUGUUCAACUCCCGCCAAACGCCAAUGAAAGAGCACCAAACACCACACAAAGUGUUCGCGCGCUCCACAGAGAAUCGCCAUGGCAGAUUCAAGGAUUUUCCGUCUAAGAAGUCGAACAAGGCACAGUACAAUUCAUCAGCGUUAAUUUCUCACACUUUUUGUUUUGCUUUUUUAUUUUUUUCCAUUUUUAGAUUCAUUUUUUCGUGUUCCUUUCCUUCUCUGUCGCCAGAUCACAGGUAAUAACUUGAAUGCUGCAUUUGCAUCCGUUUCUGAAGAUUCCGUGGAUUUAUCACCGAUCUCAGAGAUCUCGUAUGCAAAUCACGGCGAAGAUGUCACGUUUCAGACCUUCUUGUUGGAAGAACCUUCCUCGGUGACUUUGGUUCCAUCUGAUUUAACUCCUAAAGAAAUCACUGACGCGACGGGAAUUAUUAGCUCCACUAAUUCUAUCAGCACCGAUAAAUUUGAUAGUUCUAAGUUUAACUCUGUGGAAGCAGAGAUUACUGUGAAUUUUCUCAGAAAUGUGAAAACUGAUGUCCUCAACGCUGCUCCCCAAUGUAGAAGAGAGCUUAUGGAUGGAAUAAUUGAGUAUGUUAUAAGCGAUCUCCAAACCUAUACCCUGCCAGAGGAGAGAGAUCAGUUUGCUCAUUUGCUUUCGAUGAAAAAUCGAAUGUUGUUUCUGUGUACCUUCAUUUGGGUAAUUGGAGUAUCAGUUCUGCUUUUCUUCACUUCGUAUACUCGUGGCCCUUACAGAGGACCGACGCCAACCUGAACGAUUCCACUAAGGUUUAUAUGCUUUUUAACCAUGGGAGAAGAGGUAACAUCUUCAGUUAUGUAGCUUGUAAAUAUAUCUCUUUAACUGAAAAUUCUUGGAAAUCAUGAAACUGGUAUAACUGGUUCUUAGUCUGACACUUGACUUGAGCUACUUAAAAAUUAGAAUUGCCCUGAA